GAUGAACGCUAGCGACAGGCCUAACACAUGCAAGUCGAGGGGCAGCAUAAAGGUAGCAAUACUUUGGUGGCGACCGGCGCACGGGUGAGUAACACGUAUGCAACCUACCUGUAAGAGGGGAAUAACCCGGAGAAAUUCGGACUAACACCGCAUAAUACCGAUUAACUGCAUGGUUGAUCGGUUAAAUAUUUAUAGCUUACAGAUGGGCAUGCGUAACAUUAGAUAGUUGGUGAGGUAACGGCUCACCAAGUCAACGAUGUUUAGGGGUUCUGCGAGGAAGGUCCCCCACACUGGUACUGAGACACGGACUAGACUCCUACGGGAGGCAGCAGUGAGGAAUAUUGGUCAAUGGGCGAGAGCCUGAACCAGCCAAGUCGCGUGAAGGAAGAAUGUCCUAUGGAUUGUAAACUUCUUUUGUAAGGGAAUAAAAAAGCUUACGUGUAGGCUAUUGUAUGUACUUUACGAAUAAGGAUCGGCUAACUCCGUGCCAGCCGCCGCCGUAAAAC
rnacentral:rRNA from 1 species